AUGUAGCGUAAUGGAUAGCGCAUUGCACUUCUAAUCCAAAGGUCGUGGAUUCGAAUCCCACGUGGAAUG